rnacentral:SRP_RNA from 1 species
GCUGGGUGUGGUGGCACGCACCUGUAAUCCCAGCUACUGGGGAGGCUGAGACAGGAGAAUCACUUGAAUACAGGAGGCGGAGGUUGCAGUGAGCCGAGAUCAUGCCACUGCACUCCAGCCUGGACAACAGAGUGAGACCCUGUCUCAA